rnacentral:rRNA from 1 species
UACGAAGGGGGCUAGCGUUGCUCGGAAUCACUGGGCGUAAAGCGCACGUAGGCGGACUCUUAAGUCGGUGGUGAAAUCCUGGAGCUCAACUCCAGAACUGCCUCCGAUACUGGGAGCCUUCGAGUCCGGGAGAGGUGAGUGGAACUGCGAGUGUAGAGGUGAAAUUCGUAGAUAUUCGCAAGAACACCAGUGGCGAAGGCGGCUCACUGGCCCGGUACUGACGCUGAGGCGCGACAGCGUGGGGAGCAAACAGG